rnacentral:rRNA from 1 species
CCGACGGGUGAGUAACACGUAUGCAAUCCACCUGUAACAGGGGGAUAACCCGGAGAAAUCCGGACUAAUACCCCAUAAUAUGGGCGCUCCGCAUGGAGAGCCCAUUAAAGAGAGCAAUUUUGGUUACAGACGAGCAUGCGCUCCAUUAGCCAGUUGGCGGGGUAGCGGCCCACCAAAGCGACGAUGGAUAGGGGUUCUGAGAGGAAGGUCCCCCACAUUGGAACUGAGACACGGUCCAA